AUGUUGACCUUAACCUGGCUGAUGGUUAGCCCAUUGCUGCCUCGUAUGUUUUAUGAGAGCCCAUAUUUAAACGUGCCCUCUGAUUCGAAGUCCUUACAUUUAAUAGUCUACAUCAGGUGCAGCUGGCUUUGAUUGAAGGUCAUUUUUAAAAGUUAAAAACUCAAGACCUCACAGAUUAUAUUAGAAAACGAAAUUGCCUCCAUUUGAUCUUGCUCAAGUGACCUUGAUGGGUUUUGCUUUAGGUACAGCUGUUUAGUUCAAAGUUAUAGAGAACUAUUUUCUGAGAUAAACUAAAAUGUGCAAACCCAAUUGACAAUUGAAGUGUCAGAUAUGUAGAACCCAUCAGACAUCCUUCUUCAAGAGCCUCCACAAACUUUCAGUCCUUGUCUCUUUAUUUGGUAUUCAUGUUACUGGUAGCAAUAUAAAGUUAAUUAGUUUUUGUUUUGAUUUGGCUUCAUAAAGUAUCUCAGAUUGAAACUUUUCUGCAUAAAGAACUACAGGUAGAGGCUUUAUGAACUCAAAUUGGCACCUACUGAAUUAAAAUGUAUGAAAUCAUUUAAAUGUAAUUCAGUGUGUAGGAAAUAAUAUUGCACUAAAGUGGAAAUCACUGCCAGACACAGUGAUUUUAAUUUGUUAUUACUUAGGCACAAACCCCAUGUGAUUCCAGUUUGGAUUUGUUUAUUAAAGAGAAUUGGAAAUUCAGAUGCCCAUUCUUAAAUUUUAUAGCUUUAAUCUGUAUUAUGUCUUUAUUGAUGGGAAGAGGUACAUUUUUGUUUUCCUUACUGAAAACAAAUGAAUUAAUUGCCUCAAAUUUGUAUGCGUGAUUGGCUAGUCUAGAGAUUCUUUUUUUCAGAGGGGAAGGUAGUAUAGAUAAAAAAUGACAAAGAUAUACACAGUAUAUACACUUAAUGUUGUUAUAUGUUGUUACUGAAAUACUUAGAUUUUUUAAAUUUCAAAUCAUAAAUCACUUCUUGUAGGAGGAUUUCCAUUGAUUAGCUGCAGUAUAUACAGUUCACCACAUACGGGCUAUUUGAGAUUUUUGUGUGCUGCAUUUCUUUCUGUUUUUUUAAUACCUGGUUUUGUACAUAUCUAACUCUGUUCUCUUUUGGUUAUUCAGAAGCUGGAUUAUUUUCUUUUAAGCAGUGCUUAAUUCAUCUUUUUAAAUUUUGUUUCAAAAGUAAUCCCAGCUCAUAGAUAUCUAUACUGUUAUAUCCAGAACAUUUGUCAGGCUGUCCGUCAGCUCUCAUGUACAUAUGGUAUAGAAACUGCAGAGUAAGGCACUUCUGGCUUUUUUUUUUAUGAGAAAAAUACUGUAUUUAAAAUGUAAAAUAAACUUUUAAAAAGCAGGCACUAAUAUAUAUUUCUUCUAGCCUUUCAUUACAAAUUUUUCCUCUCACAUGUUAAGAUGAAUUAUCUUCUAAAAAUGCCAUUGUUCUUGGGAGCAGUAUAUGUUACUUUAAUAGCAGCAUUUCCUGUCAGGUGUUCAUGUCAGGACAUUUUCGGUUUUAAACUUUUUUAUUACCUUUGGCUAUUGAUUAGUGUAAGUGCGAUUUCAAAAAAACCUUGAAAAUAAUAUAUUUAAUUAAAAUGUUUAUCUGUAA